rnacentral:rRNA from 1 species
UACGGAGGGUGCGAGCGUUGUCCGGAAUCACUGGGCGUAAAGGGCGCGUAGGCGGCCUGAUAAGUAGGGGGUGAAAUCCUGCGGCUUAACCGCAGGGCUGCCUUCUAAACUGUCAGGCUAGAGCACGGUAGAGGCAGAUGGAAUUCCCGGUGUAGCGGUAGAAUGCGUAGAGAUCGGGAAGAACAUCAGUGGCGAAGGCGGUCUGCUGGGCCGUUGCUGACGCUGAGGCGCGACAGCGUGGGGAGCAAACAGG